CGUAAAGGGCACGUAGGCGGACAAAUAAGUUUGAUGUCAAAUAUGAUGGCUCAACCAUCAAGAGGCGUUGAAAACUGUUUAUCUAGAAUCUCGGAGAGGUAAGUGGAAUUCCAUGUGUAGCGGUGGAAUGCGUAGAUAUAUGGAGGAACACCAAUGGCGAAGGCAGCUUACUGGACGAAGAUUGACGCUCGAGGUGCGAAAGCGUGGGUACGCAAACAGGAUUAGACUACCCUGGUAG
rnacentral:rRNA from 1 species